UACAGAGGUCUCAAGCGUUGUUCGGAUUCAUUGGGCGUAAAGGGUGCGUAGGUGGCGUGGUAAGUCGGGUGUGAAAUUUCGGAGCUUAACUCCGAAACUGCAUUCGAUACUGCCGUGCUUGAGGACUGGAGAGGAGACUGGAAUUUACGGUGUAGCAGUGAAAUGCGUAGAGAUCGUAAGGAAGACCAGUGGCGAAGGCGGGUCUCUGGACAGUUCCUGACACUGAGGCACGAAGGUCAGGGGAGCAAACGGG
rnacentral:rRNA from 1 species